CUUGUAUUUCUAUGUUAAAGGAGCCAGAGACUCUGCCUAUGGAGAUGGAGCUGCCUGUUGCGCCAACACAAGCUAGAGUCUCUAGAGGAAAUGUGGGAGAUGCGGCGUCUCCAAGACGAGGUCUACUGUCUCUCUCUGGCUGCAGACCAGGAGAAGGUUCUGUGUUCCUGCCGGGGGCGAUUGGUAUAGCUUACCGCGUUCACUGGCUGUUUGGCCGGGCGGCCAGCUCGAGGAAGAGUCUUCGUGGUUCCAAACUUCUUCCAUUUUAGAAUGAUGGAGGCCACUGUGGUCUUGGGACCUUCAAUGCUGCAGCAAUUCUUUGGUACCCUUCCCCAGAUCUGUGCCUCGAAACAAUCCUGUCUCGGAGCUCCACUGACAAUUCCUUCGAC